rnacentral:misc_RNA from 1 species
UUUCCGUAGGUGAACCUGCGGAAGGAUCAUUAAAGAGCAUAUGCCCUUCGGGGUAGAUCUCCCACCCUUUGUUUAUAUUACCUUUGUUGCUUUGGCAGGCCCGUCUUCGGACCAUCGGCUUCGGCUGGUCAGUGCUUGCCAGAGGACCCAAUACUCUUAUUAUUAAUGUCGUCUGAGUACUAUAUAAUAGUUAAAACUUUCAACAACGGAUCUCUUGGUUCUG